rnacentral:rRNA from 1 species
CUUCAAAUCCGCCCGUCAUAUACCGAGGCCAACGAUCGAGCCAGCUUGCUGGUGAAGUGACUGAACGAGGUUCCAGGAAAAGCCACUAAGCUUCAGCUAUACACGACCGUACCGCAAACCGACACUGGUGCGCGAGAUGAGUAUUCUAAGGCGCUUGAGAGAACUCAGGAGAAGGAACUCGGCAAAUUGACACCGUAACUUCGGAAGAAGGUGUGCCCUAUUAGUGUGAAGUGAACAACGGAGCAUGAAUGGGUUGCAAAAAAUCGGUGGCUGCGACUGUUUAUUAAAAACACAGCACUCUGCAAACACGAAAGUGGACGUAUAGGGUGUGACGCCUGCCCGGUGCUGGAAGAUUAAAUGAUGGGGUGCAAGCUCUUGAUUGAAGUCCCAGUAAACGGCGGCCGUAACUAUAACGGUCCUAAGGUAGCGAAAUUCCUUGUCGGGUAAGUUCCGACCUGCACGAAUGGCGUAACGAUGGCCACACUGUCUCCUCCUGAGACUCAGCGAAGUUGAAAUGUUUGUGAUGAUGCAAUCUCCCCGCGGAAAGACGGAAAGACCCCAUGAACCUUUAUUGUAGCUUUGUAUUGGACUUUGAACAGAUCUGUGUAGGAUAGGUGGGAGGCUUUGAAGCAGGGUCGCUAGAUCUUGUGGAGCCAACGUUGAAAUACCACCCUGGUGUGUUUGAGGUUCUAACCUAGGUCCAUUAUCUGGAUCGGGGACAGUGCAUGGUAGGCAGUUUGACUGGGGCGGUCUCCUCCCAAAGCGUAACGGAGGAGUUCGAAGGUACGCUAGUUACGGUCGGACAUCGUGACGAUAGUGCAAUGGCAUAAGCGUGCUUAACUGCGAGACUGACAAGUCGAGCAGAUGCGAAAGCAGGACAUAGUGAUCCGGUGGUUCUGUAUGGAAGGGCCAUCGCUCAACGGAUAAAAGGUACUCUGGGGAUAACAGGCUGAUACCGCCCAAGAGUUCAUAUCGACGGCGGUGUUUGGCACCUCGAUGUCGGCUCAUCUCAUCCUGGGGCUGUAGCCGGUCCCAAGGGUAUGGCUGUUCGCCAUUUAAAGAGGUACGUGAGCUGGGUUUAAAACGUCGUGAGACAGUUUGGUCCCUAUCUUCCGUGGGCGCUGCAGAUUUGAGGAAGCCUGCUCCUAGUACGAGAGGACCGGAGUGGACACACCUCUGGUGUAUCGGUUGUCACGCCAGUGGCAUUGCCGAGUAGCUAAGUGUGGAAGAGAUAACCGCUGAAAGCAUCUAAGCGGGAAACUCGUUUCAAGAUGAGAUCUGCCGGGGCCUUGAGCCCCCUGAAGAGUCGUUCAAGACCAGGACGUUGAUAGGUCAGGUGUGGAAGCGCAGUAAUGCGUUAAGCUAACUGAUACUAAUUGCUCGUGCGGCUUGACC